rnacentral:rRNA from 1 species
AUUGAACGCUGGCGGCAGGCCUAACACAUGCAAGUCGAACGAGUGGCGGACGGGUGAGUAAUGUCUGUGAACCUGCUCGAUGGAGGGGGAUAACUACUGGAAACGGUAGCUAAUACCGCAUACCAUCGGAUGUGCCCAGAUGGGGUUAGCUAGUGGGUGGGGUAACGGCUCACCUAGGCAACGAUCCCUAGCUGGUCGGUGAGGAGGACCAGCCACACUGGAACGGAGACACGGUCCGGACUCCUACGGGAGGCAGCAGUGGAGAAUAUUGCACAAUGGGCGCGAGCCUAAUGCGGCCAUGCCGCGUGUAGGAAGAAAGCCUUCGGGUUGUAAAGUACUUUCAGCGAGGAAGCGUUACUCGCAGAAGAAGCACCGGCUAACUCCGUGCCAGCAGCCGCGGUAAUUC